GUCUAUGGCCAUAGCACCCUGAACGCACCCUAUCUCAUCUGAUCUUGGAAACAGCCGGGUCAGGCCUGGUUAGUAGUUGGAUGGGAAACACUAGUACAAUGUUCAAUACAGAUGCCGAGCACA
rnacentral:rRNA from 14 species